rnacentral:rRNA from 1 species
UACAGAGGUCCCGAGCGUUGUUCGGAUUCAUUGGGCGUAAAGGGUGCGUAGGCGGCGGGGCAAGUCUGAUGUGAAAUCCCGGGGCUCAACCCCGGAACUGCAUUGGAUACUGCCUUGCUCGAGUACUGGAGAGGGAACUGGAAUUUACGGUGUAGCAGUGAAAUGCGUAGAUAUCGGGAGGAACACCUGAGGCGAAGGCGGGCUACUGGGCCGAUACUGACGCUGAUGUGCGAAAGCCAGGGGAGCGAACGGG